rnacentral:rRNA from 1 species
ACAUCCAGAGAACUUAGCAGAGAUGCUUUGGUGCCUUCGGGAACUCUGAGACAGGUGCUGCAUGGCUGUCGUCAGCUCGUGUUGUGAAAUGUUGGGUUAAGUCCCGCAACGAGCGCAACCCUUAUCCUUUGUUGCCAGCGGUUCGGCCGGGAACUCAAAGGAGACUGCCGGUGAUAAACCGGAGGAAGGUGGGAUGACGUCAAGUCAUCAUGGCCCUUACGGCCAGGGCUACACACGUGCUACAAUGGCGCAUACAAAGAGAAGCGACCUCGCGAGAGCAAGCGGACCUCAUAAAGUGCGUCGUAGUCCGGAUUGGAGUCUGCAACUCGACUCCAUGAAGUCGGAAUCGCUAGUAAUCGUAGAUCAGAAUGCUACGGUGAAUACGUUCCCGGGCCUUGUACACACCGCCCGUCACACCAUGGGAGUGGGUUGCAAAAGAAGUAGGUAGCUUAACCUUCGGGAGGGCGCUUACCACUUUGUGAUUCAUGACUGGGGUGAAGUCGUAACAAGGUAGGCGUAGCGAG